rnacentral:rRNA from 1 species
CAGGCCUAACACAUGCAAGUCGAGCGGACUUAUCCUUCGGGAUAGGUUAGCGGCGGACGGGUGAGUAACACGUAGGCAACCUGCCUGUAAGAUCGGGAUAACUACCGGAAACGGUAGCUAAGACCGGAUAGCUGGUUUCUCCGCAUGGGGGAAUCAUGAAACAUGGGGCAACCUGUGGCUUACGGAUGGGCCUGCGGCGCAUUAGCUAGUUGGUGGGGUAAUGGCCCACCAAGGCGACGAUGCGUAGCCGACCUGAGAGGGUGAUCGGCCACACUGGGACGGAGACACGGCCCAGACUCCUACGGGAGGCAGCAGUAGGGAAUCUUCCGCAAUGGGCGCAAGCCUGACGGAGCAACGCCGCGUGAGUGAUGAAGGUUUUCGGAUCGUAAAGCUCUGUUGCCAAGGAAGAACGCCUCGGAGAGUAACUGCUCUGAGGGUGACGGUACUUGAGAAGAAAGCCCCGGCUAACUACGUGCCAGCAGCCGCGGUAAUACGUAGGGGGCAAGCGUUGUCCGGAAUUAUUGGGCGUAAAGCGCGCGCAGGCGGUCUUUUAAGUUUGGUGUUUAAGCCCGGGGCUCAACCCCGGUUCGCACUGAAAACUGGGAGACUUGAGUGCAGGAGAGGAAAGCGGAAUUCCACGUGUAGCGGUGAAAUGCGUAGAGAUGUGGAGGAAACACCAGUGGCGAAGGCGGCUUUCUGGACUGUAACUGACGCUGAGGCGCGAAAGCGUGGGGGAGCAAAACAGGAUUA